AUUUGAUUGGGCAUCACUGUGUUGCUAUGGCAUGAUCCUGGUAGUUAUUGUUAUUAAAACAAUAAGAAUAACAAAUUCAAAUUCAAACAUUGCUGCAUUCUUCUGUCACUGACAAUUCCAAACCUGCACUCAGUCUCCUCAUUACACUGGUACUGAACAGACACAACAUUGGAGUCUUUGCAAACUUUGUUCAAAAACUACAACUAUUUGACACAAAACUGCGACAGCAAGCACAGAAACUUAAAACAAGUCACUGAAAGAAACCAAAUCCUGCGUGGAUCUUUGUCCUGACAGACGCCUAAAAUGGCUCAAGCUGUGGGAAAACCAAAUCUUAAGAGGUUCAACUCACAUGUCAGCAGUGACAGCAAGUACUGCUUCCAGGAUGUGGGGAUCUUACCGCCUCCUAAAUGUUUUAGGCUGAUGACGUGUGAUCUUCCCCUGCCUCCAAGUCCUCUAUCAUCCCCUGUGAAUGAUGAAAACA